ACAGAGGGUGCGAGCGUUAAUCGGAAUUACUGGGCGUAAAGCGUGCGCAGGCGGUUCUGCAAGACAGGUGUGAAAUCCCCGGGCUUAACCUGGGAACUGCGCUCGAAACUACGGGGCUUGAGUGUGGCAGAGGGGGGUGGAAUUCCACGUGUAGCGGUGAAAUGCGUAGAGAUGUGGAGGAACACCAAUGGCGAAGGCAGCCCCCUGGGCCAACACUGACGCUCAUGCACGAAAGCGUGGGGAGCAAACAGGA
rnacentral:rRNA from 1 species